rnacentral:lncRNA from 1 species
GGCCACUGGGAGCAUGCCUACAAGGGCAUAUUUUAUCCCCAGUCUUUUCUCUUCUCUGUUCUUCUCUCUCCUCCUCUCCUCUUCUCUUUUUCCCACUCCUCUCAUUUCCCAUCUCCUUCUCCCCAGGCUGCCAUGAAGAGAGAAGUUCUGCCAUAACACAUCUUCUCCACCAUGAUGUUAUGCCUUGUCACAGGCUUGAAAGCAAUGGAACCAUUUGACUAUGAACUGAAACCUCCGAAAGUAUGAGCCAAAAUAAACCUUUAUUCCUUUAAGUAGUUUUUAUCUGGUAUUUUUGUCAUAGCAAUGAAAGUUGACUAAUAGAUCUUACACUCAGUGGGCUGGUGCUGUAGCUCAGGGGCAGAGCAUUUAACUGUAGGUGUGAGGUCUUAGGUUCAAUCCCCACUGCUGAAAAAAGAAAAUUCAGAGAUAAAAAGUGAAGCGAAAGAAAUAUCAUGCAGGAAUAAUCAUAAACCAAAGAGGUGAGGUAGGUUUAAGUGAUACAGUGUUUAGAUGGCAACUUUGGGCCAUGUGGUUAUACAAGUGAGCUGACACACCACUAGAUCCUAUUUAGAAGUUGCUGUACUUAUCCUCCAGCACCUGGAGAAUAAGUCUAUGGCCAGAAGCUUAAACCUCAACUUCAGGAGGAUUGUCCUUGGCUGAUAGGAGAUGACUAUGAGACAAUCAACCAUGGGUUGAUACAGUAGAGAAAAACCUGUUCCCUUACUUAAAAUCUGACCACCCAUAAGGAGUAACUAACUUAUGCUCAAGACCCACCUUGACCAUUAUAAUCCACAGGUCAAUCCAAGACUAGACAUUACCUAAAACCACAUCUAAGACUCCAUUUUGAUAUCUGUUUCCUUUCCUUUUCCUGCAUUUCUCCCUUUUCUAAUUUUUUCUUACGUCUGUUUCUAGGAAACCCAAACCAAGACAGCAGUAAAGGAGAACCUCUUUUGAUAUGAUACAUAUGCUGGGAAAUGAGUGAUAAGAAAUAACCAGACCUGUAAACCUCUGAUGGAACAAGCUCCACAUGCUGAAAGAACCAAGAGAUCAUGGGUGCUGAGCAUUAAAAAAGAAGGAGAGUUUAGGAAGAGGUAUGUCUGAGACUUUAAGGUCUAAACCUAGAUCUCAUAGGAUAGGAGCCCUGUCUCAGGGAUUUUAGUCAAAGUAUAAUGGGAAACAGGAAGUUUUUGGAAGUUGAGAAUUCUGACUUGUAUUUUAAAAGAAUACCUCCAGAGAUCAGAUAAUCCUGAGGUCAAAGUAGAAGCAGGGAGACCUGUUAUGAUACUUUGUAAGCAGGGACCUUGAUUUGGACAAGUAACAUCUAUUUUAUCUGUUAUAUGCUAGGCAAUUUACAUAUAUUCCUGAAUUCUACUAGCAGCUCUGUUAGGUGAAUGCCAUUUUAGAGGUGAGGAAACUGAGUUUUAGUUUUCUUAAGUGGCUAAUGUGAAAUUACACAGCUGUAGGUGGUAUAUCUAGGAUUUAAACCAGACUAUCUGCCUCUGAAAUCU